GUGUCCCGAGUAACUAGGAUUACAGGCAUAAGCUACUAGGUGCUUUGUGAAUACUAUCCAAGUACUUUACCAUUGAGCUACAUUUCCAACUUUAUUUUAAUGGAAAUUUCAUACACAUUUAAUACAAUUUUUGUCAAAAUAGUUCUUAUCUUUUUUGGAGGACUAGAGGAUUGAGAUAUUCUCAUGUAGUACACAAGUGGGCUUUAAAUUUCACAUCCUUCUGGCUCAGUCUCCCAAGUGUUGGGAUUACAGAUGUGUGCUAUUACCUGGCACAGAAUGUCUUAUCAUAAUAAAAGUAAAGUGACAUCUUAAGAGGUUCAUAAAUCAAAGAUUCAUUAAAAAAGCAGGAUAAUAAUUUAAAAACUUUGCAACAAUAAACUCAAAACAGUUUAUUUAUCUUAUUUAAUCAUCUAAGGUAGGAUUAAAAAAAACAAA